rnacentral:rRNA from 1 species
UACGUAGGUGGCAAGCGUUGUUCGGAAUUAUUGGGCGUAAAGGGCGCGUAGGCGGUUUGCUAAGUCAGUUGUGAAAGCCCGGGGCUCAACCCCGGAGGGUCGGCUGAUACUGGUGGACUAGAGUACGGAAGAGGUAGCUGGAAUUCCCGGUGUAGUGGUGGAAUGCGUAGAUAUCGGGAGGAACACCAGUGGCGAAGGCGGUUGCCUGGAGCUUUGCUGACGCUGAGGCGCGAAAGCGUGGGGAGCGAUCCGG